rnacentral:rRNA from 1 species
UGGGGGAUAUUGGACAAUGGGGGCAACCCUGAUCCAGCUAUGCCGCGUGUGUGAAGAAGGCCUGCGGGUUGUAAAGCACUUUCAGUGGGGAGGAGGGUACGCGAGUUAAAAGCUAGAGGUACUGGACGUUACCCACAGAAGAAGCACCGGCAAACUCCGUGCCAGCAGCCGCGGUAAUACGGAGGGUGCGAGCGUUAAUCGGAAUUACUGGGCGUAAAGGGUGCGUAGGCGGUUUAGUAAGUUAUGUGUGAAAUACUUGGGCUUAACCUAGGUGCUGCAUAUAAUACUGUUAAGCUAGAGUAUGGUAGAGGGUAGUGGAAUUUCCGGUGUAGCGGUGAAAUGCGUAGAGAUCGGGAGGAACACUGGUGGCGAAGGCGGCUACCUGGACCAAUACUGACGCUGAGGCACGAAAGCGUGGGGAGCAAACAGG